UAAGCGGAGGAAAAGAAACUAACUAGGAUUCCCUUAGUAACGGCGAGUGAACCGGGAUGAGCUCAAAUUUAAAAUCUGGCGUCUUUCAGGCGUCCGAGUUGUAAUCUAUAGAGGCGUUUUCCGCGCCGGACCGCGUCCAAGUCUCUUGGAAUAGAGUAUCAAAGAGGGUGACAAUCCCGUACUUGACGCGACAACCGGUGCUCUGUGAUACGUUCUCAAUGAGUCGAGUUGUUUGGGAAUGCAGCUCUAAAUGGGUGGUAAAUUCCAUCUAAGGCUAAAUAUUGGCGAGAGACCGAUAGCGAACAAGUACCGUGAGGGAAAGAUGAAAAGCACUUUGGAAAGAGAGUUAAACAGCACGUGAAAUUGUUAAAAGGGAAACGAUUGAAGUCAGUCGUGUGAAAGGUAUUCAGCCGUCUCUGGCGGUGUAUUUGCCUUUCACGGGUCAACAUCAGUUUGAUCCGGUAGAAAAAGGCGGGAGGAAGGUGGCACCCUCGGGUGUGUUAUAGCCUCCUGUCAUAUGUGCCGGACCAGACUGAGGAACGCAGCUUGCCGCAAGGCCGGGGUUCGCCCACGUACAAGCUUAGGAUGUUGACAUAA
rnacentral:rRNA from 1 species